CCUACGGGAGGCUGCAGUAGGGAAUAUUGCUCAAUGGGGGAAACCCUGAUGCAGCAACGCCGCGUGGAUGAUGAAGGUUUUCGGAUUGUAAACUCCUAUUGUCAGAGAAGAAAAUGACGGUAUCUAACGAAUAAGCCCCGGCUAACUCCGGUCCAGCCGCCGCGGGAAUACGGUGGGUGCAAGCGUUACUCGGAAUCACUGGGCGUAAAGAGAGCGUAGGCGGGAUAGCAAGCCAGGUGUGAAAUCCUAGGGCUUAACCCUAGAACUGCCUUUGAAACUGUUAUGCUAGAGGAUGGGAGGGGUAGGUGGAAUUCUUGGUGUAGGGGGAAAAUCCGUAGAGAUCAAGAGGAAUACUCACGGCGAAGGCGACCUGCUAGAACAUAACUGACGCUGAUGCGCGAAAGCGUGGGGAGCAAACAGGAUUAGAUACCCGUGUAGUC
rnacentral:rRNA from 1 species